AAGCAAAUGCAGGUGGAAAUGAUUUCUGGGCUGUCUAAGUUCUUCAGGGCGAAUUCGUGAGCUUGAAAAGAAAUUUUCGAUUUCCUGAAAAGAUGAUAAAUUAGCCUGUUUCCCCUCAGGGUUCAACAGAACGUAUGCAGCCAUGCUGGGACGUGCCUCCUUCAGAUAAUAUUUGAUGCCUGUAGUCCACGUUCAGCAGCAUCCAGGGGCGACAACGAGUAAAGACUAUGCAACCCCAUCAGACUGCACAGUACGCCUCAUUAUUACUUCCCAAUUAGACAAAAGACGUCGAGAGUGCAAAGUUCGUAGCAUUACAAAAAAUUUAGUUAUCAAUGAUUAGAGAUUGCUCUAGGACAGGCGAAUAUAGAGCGAUUGCACUCAGAAAUCAACAAUUGCAACGAAAAAACGUUUUAAUUUAACAAAUUGACAUCUGAUUCUCUAAUAUUGAUUAUUUAUUAUUGUUGAUGCAAGUUGACAAACUAGAGGAGUACAAUUUGACAAUUGAGUUAUUACGAACUUUGAAAAACCCGACCAAAGAGGAUUGAAUAAAGUAGAGGCUCAGUUCUGGGGGUUUAAGUGACCCCAACGGCAUUGUAGUACUGCACCCCAAAAGAGAGAGGGCGACACACGCAAUGGGGGUGUCUCCCAGCAGCCGACUCGAUAUUGCAUUUUUUCGAAGGAUUUACCGAGGAAUUCUCUGGGCAAUUAAAAGCUGCUGCAAAAGCUGCGCUGUUGGAGACAGCACCGUUGA